rnacentral:lncRNA from 1 species
UAACACAACAAAUGUGUUGUUUGUUAGGAAUCUGUGAAGAAGCAGCUUUUGAAAAGGAUUCAGAAUGUGACAACCCCCAAAAAGAAGCAGGGAGCGACCCCUUGUUUUCGUAUAAAUGCAACUACUUCUACUACUACUCUAAACGAGGGACUAGAAACACUAUUUGACUAUUUCGUCUUCAGUGUUUCCUGUGGAAUGAGAGGUUCGGGUGGUAGUACCAGCGGAAACAUUGGUAUUCAUUGCAGUCUACAUUUUUAAAUGUUAAUUGAUCGGGUUUGUUACGUUUUCUGGCAUCAGAAACUACUGAGAGCCUACAGAACCAGUCAAGACAUUACACAACUCUACAGGAGAUGUACAAAACCAAGGCCAGGUGUAUUCAUUUUAACGGAUCCUCAAUCGAGGGAACUCCCGCUUCAUACGUGAACUGAAGACCCGCUGGGGGACCUUUUACAACCAGGCACAGUUUAAUGGAGUGUUCAAAAAGGUCAUGAAGGCACCGCUGCUGGACAACGUGAAGCACUCAAUCGCCAUCAUGAAGGCUUUACCAGAUAUGUUCCCAUCACCUGUGGCUCCCCCCGAAGAAGUUAGGACAUGCAAGUGAGGCUAUGCGUCACAUCCUUGAGUCUGCAGAAGACCCCAACACCUUUCUUCAGGAGAGACCACUCUUCAGCCCUGUCGUGAUUGUCUGUGAAACCAACUGCGUUCUGGCCAUUGGAACCAUACCUGUGGUGACCUUCCCAAAAGAGGACAUCUAUGCCAGCGUGACAUAUCUCAUGGCAUGUUAUUACGCCUUUCACCUCACAUAUCCCAAGUGCAUUGCGACACUCCUCUCUGUGCUGCAGAUAGAAGUCCUCUCAGACGCCAUCCACGACCGGGACAUGACUUCUUCAUAGAAAAAGGCUAUGGCCGAGUGGAAAAAGUUCAUUACUGACUAGGUUUGCACGAUACAAUUUUUUAAUUUCCGGUCCCGAUAACAGAACUGGUUGUAUUGGCCGAUCCGAGAACAGAUCCAAUAACCUUUAAUAAAUAGGCAGGGCGUUUGUUGUUUAUUAUAAGAAGGUUUAAAGCACUGUUACGUUUGUUAUCUUGCCAUAGGUCUUACAUUUUCAUUUUUACCUUGACCACCAAUGGCCUUUGUUGUUGUUGUUUUUGAAUCCUUUGUUCUGCCCAUAUCAGCCGCUGGAUAUACUGAGUCCUCAAUAAAGAAGUGAAAAGAAA